UGACGAUUAUUCAUGUUACGAGAUUACAACAUUAUUCGAACAGGCCAUAGAAGAAAAUAUGACGUGGGCUAAGGUUAAAUGUCGUCUACAACCGAAUGGAUGGGAGUGCGGUUAUUGUGUUAUGUUGGCUAUAUAUGAUUUUGUGAUUUGUAACAGAGAACAUAUGUUGGCAAAUAAAACUAAAAUGGUUCGUCAAGGUGAAAUUGAUGAAUUUGUAGAGCGUACUUUAAAGGUAUUUAUAUCAUCUUUUGGUGACGUUGAGGAUGAGAAGGAUCAAUGAAGUGGCAAAGGAAUUCUGGUUAGCUGGUGUUACUUAGAGCUUGUGGUGGAUGAAGAAAGUUACACAAAGUCAAA